UGGCGGACGGGCGAGUAACACGUAAUCAAGCUACCUGCCAGACGGGGAUAACUUCGGGAAACCGAUCGUAAAACCCGAUGGUCUUUCAGCAUCGCAUGUUGCUGUAAGUAAAUGGACGGGACCCUUCGGGGCCGUCUGCUGGCAGAGGUGAUUGCGGCCCAUCAGUUUGUUGGUAGGGUAACGGCCUACCAAGACUACGACGGGUAGCCGGCCUAAGAGGGUGGCCGGUCGCACUGGGACUGAGACACUGCCCAGACUCCUACGGGAGGCUGCAGUCGAGAAUCUUCCGCAAUGGACGAAAGUCUGACGGAGCGACGCCGCGUGGAGGACGAAGGCCCUCGGGUUGUAAACUCCUGUCACGAGUUAAGAAGGUUGUAUGACGAAUAGUUGUGCAACUUGACGAAGGCUCGAGAGGAAGCACUGGCUAACUCUGUGCCAGCAGCCGCGGUAUUACAGAGAGUGCGAACGUUGUUCGGAAUUACUGGGCUUAAAGAGUACGUAGGCGGCAUGGCAAGUGUUAGGUGAAAUCCCACGGCUUACCCGUGGAACUGCCCGGCAAACUGCUGAGCUAGAGUGUGGUAGGGGAGAACAGAACUCAUGGUGGAGCGGUGAAAUGCGUAGAUAUCAUGAGGAAUACCGGUGGCGAAGGCGGUUCUCUGGUCCACAACUGACGCUGAGGUACGAAAGCUAGGGUAGCGAACGGGAUUAGAUACCCCGGUAGUCCUAGCCGUAAACGAUGGGCACUAGC
rnacentral:rRNA from 1 species